CGUUGCUGACGAGGAGGAUCAUU
rnacentral:rRNA from 1 species